CUUGUAUGUCUUACAACAUUUCUAAUGUUGUCAGUACUGCUGUAAUACAUUUUCCUUAAAUGUUGUUUGAAAGAACUCAAAAUAUGUCCCAGUGAAAAGGGUGUGAUCAUCCGUGUACUAGUAAACAUUUCAAUAACACGGUUAUUUACGAAAGUGUAAAUUGUUGGAAAUUCAAAGUGAAUGAAAUAUUGUAUUUAAAAUAAAG